rnacentral:rRNA from 1 species
GACGAACGCUGGCGGCGUGCUUAACACAUGCAAGUCGAACGGAAAGGCCCUGCUUUUGUGGGGUGCUCGAGUGGCGAACGGGUGAGUAACACGUGAGUAACCUGCCCUUGACUUUGGGAUAACUUCAGGAAACUGGGGCUAAUACCGGAUAGGAGCUCCUGCUGCAUGGUGGGGGUUGGAAAGUUUCGGCGGUUGGGGAUGGACUCGCGGCUUAUCAGCUUGUUGGUGGGGUAGUGGCUUACCAAGGCUUUGACGGGUAGCCGGCCUGAGAGGGUGACCGGCCACAUUGGGACUGAGAUCCGGCCCAGCCUCCUACGGGAGGCAGCAGUGGGAAUAUUGCACAAUGGGCGGAAGCCUGAUGCAGCAACGCCGCGUGCGGGAUGACGGCCUUCGGGUUGUAAACCGCUUUCGCCUGUGACGAAGCGUGAGUGACGGUAAUGGGUAAAGAAGCACCGGCUAACUACGU